UAAAGUUUUUCCUUCCAACUAAAAAACAAACUUUUGAAACUUUCUUCAAGUUUCUUCUAGCCAUAACAUUAAAAGAAAUGCCUUUAUGUAAAAACCACCAUAACAAGUAAAUAUUUACUUACUAAUCGCAAAGGCAAACAACAAAACUUAAUGUUUUUUCGUGACAAACAUAAAAGAACAGAAAACUAGCUGCCUGACACCUAAAAUGAAGAGAUGAAAUAUCCUGGUCUUUCGGUACCAAAUUGUAACGUUUCGCCCUACCGCCUGCCUACUUAACUCCUACCUAUUGGAUUUACUAAGAAGAUAUUUGAAACUACAACAAAACUUACUUGAGUGAAAUAAAAGUGAAACAAAUACUGCUUUGAAUUGGCCAUGAAACAUCCAGGGAAACCCUACGUUGUGUUGUAACCCAAUAAACGAAAGAUAGUGAAUUAAAUAAAACUAUGACCUAGAACUGAUUACAUACUUC